rnacentral:rRNA from 1 species
CCUACGGGAGGCAGCAGUGGGGAAUAUUGGGCAAUGGGCGCAAGCCUGACCCAGCAACGCCGCGUGAAGGAAGAAGGCUUUCGGGUUGUAAACUUCUUUUCUCAGGGACGAAGCAAGUGACGGUACCUGCGGAAUAAGCCACGGCUAACUACGGGCCAGCAGCCGCGGUAAUACGUAGGUGGCAAGCGUUAUCCGGAUUUACUGGGUGUAAAGGGCGUGUAGGCGGGAAAGCAAGUCAGAUGUGAAAACCAUGGGCUCAACCUGUGGCCUGCAUUUGAAACUGUUUUUCUUGAGUACUGGAGAGGCAGACGGAAUGCCUAGUGUAGCGGUGAAAUGCAUAGAUAUUAGGAGGAACACCGGUGGCGAAGGCGGUCUGCUGGACAGCAACUGACGCUGAGGCGCGAAAGCGUGGGGAGCAAACAGGAUUAGAUACCCGGGUAGUC